CUCGACAAGGUUUUGCGGGCGCCAAAAUGUGCAGGGAAGUUGCGAGAUCGCACAUAAUGCAAAGGGAUGAAGUUGAUUUUGUGACAAUCGGCGAGGUCCCAACAUGGCAAAGUCCUGGAAGAGGAAGACGUUGCUUGCACCAAAUGUCCUGCAAAGACAUCACGCUUCAACACAUCAAACCCUAUGCGGUGCCUGAAAUGCCAGCAUCGCGACGACGACAAUCGCCUACCAAGGCACCUGCUGCCGCAAAGAAAGCGCGCUUCCCAGAGCAUCAGUGGAUCUGACUCCCGACUCCUUCAGGUCUCUGGUUGUGGCAGGUCACGACCACUGGGUUCUGGACUUUUACGCCCCCUGGUGUGGACCCUGACAACAUUUUUGCCCCUGAGUUUGAGGUCCUGGCUCGGGUCCUGAAAGGGGAGGUCCGAGCUGGCAAGAUGGACUGCCAGGCUCACUAUCAGACAUGUCAGUCGGCAGGCAUCACCGCCUACCCCACCGUGUGCUUCUACCCAUACCAGCAUGCCAAGAGGGUGAGGGGAGCAGUGAGCAGCAGCUGUGGCCGCGCCCUGCAAUCAUUUUUGGUGAUUUAACCCCCAAUUCCAACCAAUGAUGCUGAGUGCCAAGCAGGGAGGUAAUGGGUCCCAUUUUUAUAGUCCUUGGUAUGACUCGGCCGGGGUUUGAACUCACAACCUACCGAUCUCAGGGCGGACACUUAACCACUAGGCCACUGAGUAGGAAAAAGCUGUUGUUGCCUUAUUUCCGUGUUAAAUAAAUGCCAACUCAGCCACCUUUGGCCAAUAUGGUGCAAGAAUACCUAUACACACACUGAAAUCUGUUGACCAAGUUAUUUGGGGGACGGCGCGGCUCUGGUUCAAUCCCCAGCUUCCGCCAUCCUAGUCACGUCCGUUGUGUCCUUGAGCAAGGCACUUCACCCUUGCUCCUGAUGGGUCGUGGUUCGGGCCUUGCAUGGCAGCUCCCGCCAUCAGGGUGUGAAUGGGUGAACGUGUAAAUAGUGUCAAGGCGCUUUGAGGACCUCGAAGGUAGAAAAGCGCUAUAAAAGUAUAACCCAUUUAUCAUUAUUUUUAAACAAAGAAAACAAUCUGUAAUUGUCUUUAUUUUUGAGUUAUCGUGCCGCAUACUUGCCAACCUUGAG